rnacentral:lncRNA from 1 species
GAAGCUCGAGGAGACCGAGCUUAAAACACACGAAAAAGAUGUAACCAAGCUCGCAAUCAAGCUGGUCAGAGAAGGCGGUGAAAGGAAGGAGCUCAAAAAGGGGAACGGGUUCAAGGGCACAACCAAUUUCAGAAAAUGGAAAUGAAAAAAGCAGAUGAGAAAAUCCUAGGAAAAAAGGGCACAACCAGCCUGUCUUGGAAUUCGGACGAAAUUGGAAGCAG